UGCAAGGGCACUCUGUGUUAUUCAUUCUGUAUGAUAAUUACAAUUUGUUACCUUGCUAGAUUAGAACUACCAAACCCUAU